GAACGCAGUAGCAAUACUGAGUGGCAGACGGGUGAGUAACAUGUGGGAAUCUGCCUUGUGGUUCAGGACAACAUUGGGAAACCGAUGCUAAUACUGGAUAAGCCCUUACGGGGAAAGUUUUAAUGCCAUAAGAUGAGCCCGCAUUUGAUUAGUUAGUUGGUGAGGUAAUGGCUCACCAAGACAAUGAUCAAUAGCUGAUCUGAGAGGAUGAUCAGCCACACUGGGACUGAGACACGGCCCAGACUCCUACGGGAGGCAGCAGUGGGGAAUCUUGCACAAUGGAGGAAACUCUGAUGCAGCGAUGCCGCGUGAGUGAAGAAGGCCUUUGGGUUGUAAAGCUCUUUUGUAGGGGAAGAUAAUGACUGUACCCUAAGAAUAAGGUCCGGCUAACUUCGUGCCAGCAGCCGCGGUAAUACGAAGGGACCUAGCGUAGUUCGGAAUUACUGGGCGUAAAGCGCGCGUAGGCCGUUGAGUUAGUUAAUUGUGAAAUCCCAAAGCUUAACUUUGGAACUACAAUUAAAACUGCUCGACUAGAGUUUGAUAGAGGAAAGCGGAAUACAUAGUGUAGAGGUGAAAUUCGUAGAUAUUAUGUAGAACACCAGUUGCGAAGGCGGCUUUCUGGAUCAACACU
rnacentral:rRNA from 1 species